rnacentral:rRNA from 1 species
GGCGCUUUCAUGAUUCUAUGGGUGGUGGUGCAUGGCCGUUCUUAGUUGGUGGAGUGAUUUGUCUGGUUAAUUCCGAUAACGAACGAGACCUUGACCUGCUAAAUAGACGGGUUGACAUUUUGUUGGCCCCUUAUGUCUUCUUAGAGGGACAAUCGACCGUCUAGGUGAUGGAGGCAAAAGGCAAUAACAGGUUAACCUACACAGGCCUGUAAAAGCGAUGCCAUAAUUCGCUAGUCUAGCAUCUUUAUCUCUGUAGGGAAAGUUCCCAACUGUCGGGCAGAGGAUUUUUCAAUUUUGCGAUUGGAAAAAGUGAUGUAGGCGACACUACCUGGUACAGGGAACGCCGGAGCAGUAACAUGCUUGGCCGAUCCUGUGGCGAGCUCGAGUAACGUCGAGCCGUCGCAACGCGCGGAAAGGAGUGGGUUGCAGAUAUUAAUCUGUGGCUUAAGGUACGUGCUAAUCCCCAAGGUAACUUGGCUCUUGUGAAUAGGCCCGACAGGCCGAAGCACAGGGGGGUGUCCACACGGACACUGGCAGUCGUUACAAGUCGAAUUACAUUACAAAAGUACAAAAAUAUUCCUUGUGAUCUUUGACUUGGACGGCUGAAACAUGCUGUGAUGCCCUUAGAUGUUCCGGGCUGCACGCGCGCUACACUGACAGAGACAACGAGUGGGGCCCCUUGUCCGAAAUGACUGGGUAAACUUGUGAAACUUUGUCGUGCUGGGGAUGGAGCUUUGUAAUUUUUGCUCUUCAACGAGGAAUUCCUAGUAAGCGCAAGUCAUCAGCUUGCGUUGACUACGUCCCUGCCCUUUGUACACACCGCCCGUCGCUACUACCGAUUGAAUGGCUUAGUGAGGACUUGGGAGAGUACAUCGGGGAGCCAGCAAUGGCA